UCGUCCCUACGCGGUUUCUGGGCGCCAGGGUCUGCACCGAAACAUGGCAGAGGUUGGGUCCAAGUCAGUGCUGUUCGUGUGUCUAGGUAACAUUUGCCGGUCACCCAUUGCAGAAGCAGUAUUCAGAAAACUGGUAACUGAUGAAAAGGUUUCCGAUAAUUGGAGGAUAGACAGUGCGGCUACAUCCACCUAUGAAGUGGGGAACCCUCCUGACUAUCGAGGGCAGAACUGCAUGAGAAAACAUGGCAUCCACAUGCAGUACAUUGCACGGCAGAUUACAAAAGAAGACUUUGCCACAUUCGAUUAUAUACUAUGUAUGGAUGAAAGCAAUCUGAGAGAUCUCAAUAGAAAAAGUAAUCAAGUUAAAAACUGCAAAGCUAAAAUNGAGCUACUUGGGAGCUAUGAUCCACAGAAACAGCUCAUCAUUGAAGAUCCCUAUUAUGGCAAUGACUCUGAUUUCGAGGUGGUGUACCAGCAAUGCCUUAGGUGCUGCAAGGCCUUCCUGGUCCUAACCACAACCAUUGAGCAGCUCAUUCAUCAGUGCUUUUCAGCUGACUUACUGUAUAUCUUUAAAAUAAUUGUAGGUGGAAAUUAG